AGUGAACGCUGGCGGUAGGCCUAACACAUGCAAGUCGAACGGCAGCACAGUAAUAGCUUGCUCUUACGGGUGGCGAGUGGCGGACGGGUGAGGAAUACAUCGGACUCUACUUUUUCGUGGGGGAUAACGUAGGUAAACUUACUCUAAUACCGCAUCCGACCUACGGUUGAAAGCAUGGGAUCUUCGGACCUUGCGCGAUUGAAUUAGCCGAUGUCGGAUUAGAUAGUUGGCGGGGUAAAGGCCCACCCAGGCGACGAUCCGUAGCUGGUCUGAGAGGAUGAUAGGCGGCACUGGAACUGAGACACGGACAAGACGCCUAAGGGAGGCAGCAGUGGGGAAUAUUGGACAAUGGGCGCAAGCAUGAUACAGCCAGACCGCGUGGGUGAAGAAGGCCUUCGGGUUGGAAAGACCGUUUGUAGGGAAAGAAAAGCAGCAGGUUAAUACCCAGCUGUACUGACGGUAACCAAAGAAUAAGCACCGGCUAACUUCGUG
rnacentral:rRNA from 1 species